rnacentral:rRNA from 1 species
UGGGGAAUUUUGGACAAUGGGGGAAACCCUGAUCCAGCCAUCCCGCGUGUGCGAUGAAGGCCUUCGGGUUGUAAAGCACUUUUGGCAGGAAAGAAACGUCGCGGGUUAAUACCCCGCGAAACUGACGGUACCUGCAGAAUAAGCACCGGCUAACUACGUGCCAGCAGCCGCGGUAAUACGUAGGGUGCAAGCGUUAAUCGGAAUUACUGGGCGUAAAGCGCGCGCAGGCGGUUCGGAAAGAAAGAUGUGAAAUCCCAGAGCUUAACUUUGGAACUGCAUUUUUAACUACCGGGCUAGAGUGUGUCAGAGGGAGGUGGAAUUCCGCGUGUAGCAGUGAAAUGCGUAGAUAUGCGGAGGAACACCGAUGGCGAAGGCAGCCUCCUGGGAUAACACUGACGCUCAUGCACGAAAGCGUGGGGAGCAAACAGGAUUAGAUACCCUGGUAGUCCACGCCCUAAACGAUGUCAACUAGCUGUUGGGGCCUUCGGGCCUUGGUAGCGCAGCUAACGCGUGAAGUUGACCGCCUGGGGAGUACGGUCGCAAGAUUAAAACUCAAAUGAAUUGACGGGGUCGAU